UUGUCCCCGGGACAGCGAUGAGGACGGUGAAUGCUAGCUGUUUGCAAACGCUGUUUAUAAAGUAGGGAUUCCAAAGUCGGUUGCCCCCAGUGCCUGGCAAACAAGGGACAGAAGAGAGGCCUGCUGGGAAAGUCAACAGGGACAGCCACUCCCCGACUCCAGUAAGUGAAGCUAACGCAGGGAUCCAGGCCCAGUGUUGCUGCCUUCCUGUUUUUCAAGAGGAAGCCUGAUAUGCAGAUUUAUAGGGAUAUUUCCCAAUUAAGCAACAAAGCAGGCCAAUUUGAGCGGCAGAUGGAGACCAAGGCCUCAGGAUUUUGAAGUCUGCUGUUUUACCAGGGCUUCUGCAGAAUGUCUGCAUCACAACCAUGGGAGGGACACGCACCCCUUGCCCAGAGCGAUUUCGCUUUGAAUGUGAGGAAAUGAGAGGACUUUUCAGGCUUUGAUCCCUGGACCAAAUUGCUUUCUGUCUCACUAUGAGGUCACAGAGAGGACAUGGGAACCAACCGAGCAGAGGAUGGGAACCUGCACUGGCCGAACUGAGCCCUGGUCUGGCUCUUGCCUCGCUGUCAUGACAAUAAGGGAAACAGAGACCAGGAUGUUAUCACUUUGAUUCUGCUUGUGUGUCUUACUCUGUGUAUGGGGUGGGGGGGGACGUGACAAAAGUCCAGCUAAUUCUGAUUUGAAAUUUUCAGUUGUGAAGGGGGAUAUUGAUAUCUAUGCUGCAGGGCUUGGGCGGGCUCUGGUCUUUUCCUGUAGUUUUACUGGUGCGUUAUACUCGUACAUAGUGGCGGGAUGCGUGGUUACAGGAGAUAACCCUGUGCUUUGGCCGGUGUCCCUCCCCAGCACUCCCCCUCCCGCCCCUGGUUCCUUCCUCUACUGUUCUUUUGACUUUCAUGAGACCCACCCCCAUCUUUCUUUUCCUUUUUCUUCUCUGGGGAGAGCAAACACAGGACAAUGAACCUUCUGAGUUUGGUUUAUCUCACUUAACACAAUGGUCUCUAGUUCCAUCCAUUUUCUUGCAAAUGACAGAAUUUCAUCCUUCUUUAUGGCUGAAUAAAAACUCCACUGUGUCUACAUACUGAGGUACCAGAUGUGCAAGAGUUUCCUCCCCACUGUCAGAGACACAGGCAGAAGAAGCAGGCACAGGCGGCGGCUGCAGUUCCACUCCCAGUUUUACACCCAGAGAGCAAAGCAGGCCACGCAGAGCUCUGUACCAUGGUGCAUGACAGCCCAGCCAAAACAGACCGAAUGUCCGUCAGUUGACGAAUGCACAGGGCCUGGUGAACCUGCUCCGGAUUUCUACAGUGGGAAACACCCAGCCAUCUGUCCUGCUGUGUGCUGGUCGCCUUUGAUUCCCCCACUCUCCCCAUAGACAGGCCAUGGGUGCCUUCGCUGACUCAGGAGGUUUCCUCCAAAGCACCUCUUUAACCUUUGCUUGUAACCUCUCAACCACCACUGAUCCAAGCUACCCCCCUCUCCUGCCAGGAAUGUAGCAGUAGCCUUCUAAUGUUGUCCCGCUGGGCUUCCUUGAAGUCAGUUCUCCACCGAAGAACCAGAGAAAUCUUUACUGAAAAGACGAGUCGGGUCAAUCCCCUGCCUGGAAGCUAUCUUUGGUCUGAGUCUGAAUAUACCAUUAGAAUAUUAAGAAGGUUUGAAACAUCAUUAAUCGUCAGUGAAGGUAAAAUUAAAGCUACUGUAAGAUACUACUACACACCCACAGAAUGGCUAAUGUUUAAAAAAUUAAAGACCAACAGUGUCAAAGGUCAAUGAGGAUGCAGAGGAACUACAACUUCCACACCCUGCUAGUGGAAGGGAAUAUAUAACGACUCUGGAAACGUGUUGGGCAAUAUCUAAUGAAGCUGAGUAUAUGCUUACUGUAGGACCCGGCUGUUCCACUUCUAGGUGCAUAUCCAGGACAGAUGAGGCCCUGCGGCCUCCAAAAGACGUCCAGGAAUUUUAAAAUGGGGAGUGGGGGUGUAGCUCAGUGCUGGAGUGUGUGUGUAGCUGCGUGAGGCCCUGGGUUCAGUUCCCAGCACCACCUGAAUAAGAAAGAGCGGGAGGAAAGGAGGGAGGAAGAUAUUUGCACUAGCUUUGUCUAUAAUAGACAAAUAUCGACAGCAAGUCAAAUGUCUUUCAUAGUAUUCAUACAACCACACUUGACCAGCAAUGAAAAAGGUUGGAUGACCAGGACGGGCAACUGCAUGACCCACCUCACGGCUGCGGCAAGUAAAGACAGGUCCCAGUCUGAACCGUGAUUCUACCUAAAACUGCUCAAGAAGAGGAAGCAGCAGGCAUUGGACUUCCCCUCUGCUAGGGACCAGGGACCAGCGGUUAGACCAAGAAUGAGCAAGAGGGGACUUGGAGGUUUGGAAAUGCCACUCAUCGUAAACUGGGCUGGGUGGGUGGUUGUUUCAUGAGUCGUGUGAUUGUGUGUGUGUGUGUGUGUGUGUGUGUGUGUGUGUGUGUGUGUUAAGCUGUGUGCUUUCUGUGGAGUUACAAUGUUGUGUCUUACUUAAGUCACAAGAGGCGCCGGCAUCUCCACGCACUGACAGCAGCGUCUCCCCGUCCCACGUGGUCUGCCUCCCGCCUUCCUGCCUGCAUCUCACACUCAUUCCUAUUCUUUACUUUUUUUUUUCCCAGUACCAAGGGCACUUAACCCCUGAGCCACAUCCCCAACCCUUUUUUAUAUUUUAUUUAGAGACAGGGUCUCACUGAGUUGCU